GAUGAAGAACGUAGCGAAAGGCGAUAAGUAAUGUGAAUUGCAGAAUUCAGUGAAUCAUCGAAUCUUUGAACGCACAUUGCGCCCGCCAGUAUUCUGGCGGGCAUGCCUGUUCGAGCGUCAUUUCAACCAUCAAGCCCUGCUUGCGUUGGGGUCCUGCGGCUGCCCGCAGGCCCUGAAAACCAGUGGCGGGCUCGCUAGUCACACCGAGCGCAGUAAUACAUCUCGCUUUGGGCGUGCGGCGGGUUCUUGCCGUUAAACACCCCCUUUUUACCAAGGUUGACAUCGGAUCAGGUAGGAAUACCCGCUGAACUUAAGCAUAUCAAUAAGCGGAGGA
rnacentral:misc_RNA from 1 species